rnacentral:rRNA from 1 species
CCUACGGGUGGCAGCAGUGAGGAAUAUUGGUCAAUGGACGAGAGUCUGAACCAGCCAAGUAGCGUGAAGGAUGACUGCCCUAUGGGUUGUAAACUUCUUUUAUAUGGGACUAAAAUGUUCCACGUGUGGGAUUUUGUAUGUACCAUAUGAAUAAGGAUCGGCUAAUUCCGUGCCAGCAGCCGCGGUAAUACGGAGGAUCCGAGCGUUAUCCGGAUUUAUUGGGUUUAAGGGGAGCGUAGGUGGAUUGUUAAGUCAGUUGUGAAAGUUUGCGGCUCAACCGUAAAAUUGCAGUUGAAACUGGCAGUCUUGAGUACAGUAGAGGUGGGCGGAAUGCGUGGUGUAGCGGUGAAAUGCUUAGAUAUCACGAAGAACUCCGAUUGCGAAGGCAGUUCACUGAACUGCAACUGACACUGAGGCACGAAAGCGUGGGUAUCGAACAGGAUUAGAUACCCUAGUAGUC